AUGCCCCUGCAGUUCCUGAAAAAGGUCAAGAAGAGAAAAGUGACACUGACUCAGGUUGAGAAUGGGUGGAUGUAUUCCGUCAUGCUCCAAAGAGCCCUGUCCCUAUGGAGACAGAAUGUUUCUGCUUCUGACAGCCUGCUGACCCCAGGAGAGCCCAAGAUCUCCUGGAAAAGAGAGUCAUCGGACAUUGAUUGGACAACAUAUACCUGCGUGCUAGGCUUUCAAGUCUUUGGUGUCUGGCCAGAAGGAUCCGACCGGACAGAUAUAAAUGCACUGGUGCAAUCCCACAACAGAAAGGUGAUAGCUGUUGCUAAUGACUUUUGUAAAGUCCAUCUGUUUCAGUAUCCCUGGUCCAAAGCAAAGGCUCCCAGUCACAAGCACAGUGCCCACAGCAGCCAUGUCACCAAUGUCAGUUUUACUCAUAAUGACAGUCACCUGAUUUCAACUGGUGGAAAAGACAUGAGCAUCAUUCAGUAGAAACUUGUGGAAAAGUUACCUUUGCCUCAGAAUGAGAUUGUAGCGGAUACUGCUCUAACCAAAGCCCCCAUCUCUUCCAUUGAAAGUAUCAUCCAAUCUAAUACUCCCACACCACCUCCUUCCCAACCCUUAAAUGAGACAGCUGAAGAAGAAAGUAGAAUAAGCAGUUCUCCCACACUUCUGGAGAACAGCCUGGAGCAGACUGUGGAGCCAAGUGAAGACCACAGUGAGGAGCACAGUGAAGGGGGCAGCGAAGAUCUUAAUGAGCCUGUUUAUGAAGAGCCAUCCAACGAGAAAAGUGAGGAGCAGAAUGAAGCUGCUCUUCCUGAGGACCAGCAAGACCCUUCACCCCUGUCCUAACACCUUGGCUUCAGCAUGGCUCUUUUCUCCUUCAACUGAUGUGAUUUUGUGAUCAAGCUCAGAUAACAGAAUGGGCAGUGAUGGAGAAU